GGGGUAUUUCCACGUGGCUUUUUUUAAUUAGGAAGUAUAUAGUUUUGGAUUAUAAAAUGCAAAAUGGUAUUCCGCAUGCAUUUAUGAAUGGUCAGUUAGUGAUGGAGGACAUAUAUGAGCCUAUUUGUUAACGACAAGGGCAGAAUCUAGGCCAACUUUUAAUGGAGGGAUAACCUAUCCUAUUUCACAUAGUAAAGGGCAUUUUAGGCCACGAUCACGCCCAAAUAUGUCCUCUAGAAAGGACUCUACGGACGUUUUUAAUAUAACCCAGGUAUUACGGGUAAAAUCCACAGAGAGUUAGCCUAUCAACCAUUAUCUUUAGAUCCACUAAACUCUUCAAAACCAGCUUCCCAAGACUUUCAAAUCACAGUUGGAAGUUUCUUUAUGAACUAAGAUUGCAGUAAAAUAACAAGUUGUAAACUUAAUAACUAAGGUUGUAAACAAUGAUGAGAGAAAGCUAAGGUAAUG
rnacentral:lncRNA from 1 species